ACUACUCCACAUAUCAAUAAGCGGAGGAAAAGAAACUUACAAGGAUUUCCUUAGUAACGGCGAGUGAACCGGGAAUAGCCUAGACUUAGAAUCGGGCGGCUCCGUCGUCUAAAUUGUAGUCUGGAGAAGCGUCAUCUGCGGUAGACCGGGCCCAUGUCCCCUGCAAGGGGGCGCCAAAGACGGUGAGAACCCCAUUGUGCCCGGACCCUGUCGCACCACGAGGCGCUGUCUACAACUCGAGUUGUUUGGGAAUGCAACCCAAAUCGGGGGGUGAAUUCCGUCCAAGGCUAAAUACGGGGGAAAGACAGAUAGCGAACAAGUACUGCGAGGGAAAGAUGAAAAGGACUUUGAAAAGAGACUCAAAGAGUGCUUGAAAUUGUCGGGAGGGAAACGGAUGGGGGCCGGCGAUGUGUCCCGGUCGGAUGUGGAACGGUGAAGAGCUUGUCCACCGAUCGACUCGGGGAGUGGACCAGCGUGGAAUGGGAGGGCGACCAAAGCCCGGGCUCUCGAUACCCCCUUGGAACGCGGUCUCCUUGAUUAUGGUAGGUAGCGCACGCCUCUGGCGUGCUUCGGCAUCUGCGCACUCUGUACGCUGGCCUGUGGGCUCACCAUUCGACCCGUCUUGAAACACGGAUCAAGGAGUCUGACAUGUGUGUGAGUCAACGGGCGAGUAAACCCGUAAGGCGUAAGGAAGCUGAUUGUUGGGAUCCUCCUGAGGGGUGCACCGCCGACCGACCGUGAUCUUCUGAGAAGGGUUCGAGUGUGAGCAUACCUGUCGGGACUCAAAAGAUGGUGAACUAUGCCUGAGCGGGACGAAGCCAGAGGAAACUCUGGGGGAGGCCCGCCGCGAUACUGAUAUGCAAAUCGUUCGUCUGACUUGGGUAUAGGGGCGAAGACUAAUUGAACUGUCUAGUAGUUGGUUCCCUUAGAAGUUUCCCUAAGGAUAGUUAGAGCUCGCGUGCUAGUUCUAUCGGGUAAAGCCAAUGAUUAGAGGCCUCGGGGGCGCAACGCCCUCGAACUAUUCUUAAACUUUAAAUAGGUAGGACGGCGCGACUGCUUUGUUGAGCCGCGCCAUGGAAUCAAGAGUUCCAAUUGAGCCAUUUUUGGUAAGCAGAACUGGCGAUGCGGGAUGAACCGGAAGCUGGGUUACGGUGCCAUACUACGCGCUAACCUAGAUCCCACAAAGGGUGUUGGUCGACUAAGACAGCUGGACGGUGGUCAUGGAAAUCGAAAUCCGCUAAGGAGUGUGUAACAACUCACCUGCCGAAACAACUAGCCCCGAAAAUGGGUGGCACUUAAGCGCGCGACCUACACCCGACCGUCGGGGAAAGUGCCAGGCCCCGAUAGUUAGGAGGGUGCGGCGGUCACUGCAAAACCUUGGGCGGAGCGGCCGUCGGUGCAGAUCUUGGUGGUACUAGCAAAUAUUCAAAUUAGAACUUUGAAGGCCGAAAAGGGGAAAGGCC
rnacentral:ncRNA from 1 species